CCUAUUCUGAGAUGAACAAGUAGCAUGUAAUGCAACUGUUUGACAGGUUAAAAUCAAAUCAUGCUUAGUUAUUGUUUCAAACAAUGAAAUCCAGUAACAUUUCCUCUUGCGUUUUAUUAUAGUACAGGUGUUUUUGUUUUUCCGUUCAAAGUUUAAAUGCAAAAUGUCUCCGUUUUUUAUUCUCUUUUUUUGUGUGAAACUUUUUAAAUGUUCUGAUUUGGAUUUUUAGUAUUUUAACAUUUACUUUGAUCCUGAAGACACUUUUACGAUUGUGUUUCAUAAGAGACGUCCUGGCCUCCGUAUAGGUGCAAUCCUGCCAUUGUACAAACACCAACGACUGUCCUGAUCCCAAAGGCUUUCCCAACCUGGCUUCUUGCCUUUCCCCUCAAUGUGGCUAAAGCAUUGCCAGACUGAACUGUCAGCUAGCAUCACGUGCUAAGAUGUUAGCAGCAAACACAAUGCUUCCCACACUAAAGGACUGGUAAAAGCUAACAAACCAACAACCAAAAGGAUGGUACGAUAACAUAACGAACUGUACAUAAAUGUUGCAACUGCACAGCAGCCAAAAAGAAAGAAAGAAUUUAAAAAACUGUUUCAAACGGAUGGAUUGUGUCUAAAGAGAGGACAGCCUUCAAAAGGUUGAUAUUGGGAUUGUUUUCUUCUGGGUGUCAAAAGGGAAUUUCACGGCGCAGUCAUAUCCUACACAAUAUGUAUUCUAAGUCCUGGUUACAUAGGAAAUGCAUCCUGAGGGUUUACUAAGAAGAAGCCCCUAUGGCUAAAACUUUAAAUAAACUAAACCAAAAAUGUUAUUGAUGUUUUAUAUAUAGAGAGUAGUCUCAUUAGUUUUUGUUACUGUAAUGUUUGAGGUCUCAACUGUACCGUUACACCGGUAAUAACAUGGUUUUGAAACUUUUAUUUUUUAUUUUUGUCACAGACCUGUUGUCAUAGUUGAAAUGACGUUUAUUGUAGAUGGUAUUUGAACAACUUCUGGAAAUAGUUCAUCAAGUAUGUUUGUUGCUCAUUGUUGUGAUACAUUAAAAACUGUAUCUGCAAACCA
ensembl:lncRNA